CUUGUGGCUCCUGCAUUCGUCGUUCGAGACCACGCCGAUCCUUGCCGAGAGACGUCGACAGCUCUUCGUGGUCACCGGAGUGCUUGGUGACCAAGGUGCCUCAACGCCUGGCCAACUUCUUCGUCCGGACGCGGCUAUGCAACCCUACCAUGGCGGCCUUCCUAUCACAUGAAAUCUACUCGCCCUUGGUCUUCCGGAGCGUCAGAAAUAAUUUUGCGUCUACGAGGUCAUCUGUGGACGCUGCGUCCAGUAUUCACGGAUGUGCCGCCUCAUGCUGCUGUCUCCCCGCCUUCAGUCUUUCUCCUCCUGCCGACAGUGGUUCCAUGCUGUCACCUAGUGCCCUUCGAGUGGAUGUGCAGUCCUGUUUCGCUACGGACAAUAUUUCCGCGAUUCAACUCUAAUAAAGAUUUUCAUGAACGCA